ACCUAUACCCGGCCGUCG
rnacentral:snRNA from 1 species